AGAAGUUCAAACCUUCUUGCUGACCGAGGGGUAUUAUAAACAAGGAGCUGCUAA
rnacentral:tRNA from 1 species